rnacentral:rRNA from 1 species
GGAGUUUGGUCCGUGUCUCAGUACCAAUGUGGGGGACCUUCCUCUCAGAACCCCUACUGAUCGUCGCCUUGGUGGGCCGUUACCCCGCCAACAAGCUAAUCAGACGCAUCCCCAUCCCUUAGCGGUGAACCUUUGCUUUCCAUCAGAUGCCAUCCAGAAAGAACAUAGAGUAUUAAUCCGACUUUCGCCGGGCUAUCCUCUACUAAGGGGAAGGUUGGAUACGCGUUACUCACCCGUGCGCCGGUCGCCAUCAAGGUUUGCAAGCAAACCCCAUGCUGCCCCUCGACUUGCAUGUGUUAAGCCUGUAGCUAGCGUUCAUC